GCCUGGGUGGCUCAGUCGGUUGAGCGUCUGACUUUGGCUCAGGUCAUGAUCUCGCAGUCUGUGAGUUCAAGCCCCGCAUCUGGCU
rnacentral:tRNA from 1 species